GGCUGUAGUGGCCCAACGGGGAAAGCUCUCGCAAUUCUCGUCCGGACUGAUCCAAACCCAGUUCGAACCCCCCAGCUGGCGCCCAGCACGAAUGCCGCGGUGGCCGUCCACUCGCUUGGGUAACCAGCGAUGCUGCGUGCGGCCCUAAGCAAUGAAGGUGACACUUGAGGGAGGCUUCACUCUGCAGAGGCACCUUCACCGUCGCAUGGCGUGCUGGAUUACGAUCGCUGGGGGCUUGGGUUAGUCGGACGAGGUGGAGAUGACGACUUCUUUUUU
rfam:Verticillium dahliae VdLs.17 supercont1.24 genomic scaffold, whole genome shotgun sequence.